GGGCUGGCGGAUGAGGACUCUGGGUCACCUCCCACCCGUGUUUAUCGUACCUUGUUGCUUCGGCGGGCCCGCCGCAAGGCCGCCGGGGGGCAUCUGCCCUCUGGCCCGCGCCCGCCGAAGACACCAUUGAACGCUGUCUGAAGAUUGCAGUCUGAGCAAUUAGUUAAAUAACUUAAAACUUUCAACAACGGAUCUCUUGGUUCCGGCAUCGAUGAAGAACGCAGCGAAAUGCGAUACGUAAUGUGAAUUGCAGAAUUCAGUGAAUCAUCGAGUCUUUGAACGCACAUUGCGCCCCCUGGUAUUCCGGGGGGCAUGCCUGUCCGAGCGUCAUUGCUGCCCUCAAGCACGGCUUGUGUGUUGGGCUCCGUCCUCCUUCCGGGGGACGGGCCCGAAAGGCAGCGGCGGCACCGCGUCCGGUCCUCGAGCGUAUGGGGCUUCGUCACCCGCUCUGCAGGCCCGGCCGGCGCUUGCCGACACAUCAAUCUUUUUUCCAGGUUGACCUCGGAUCAGGUAGGGAUACCCGCUGAACUUAAGCAUAUCAAUAAGGCGGAGGAA
rnacentral:rRNA from 1 species